rnacentral:rRNA from 1 species
AUUUUGCGCAAUGGGCGAAAGCCUGACGCAGCAACGCCGCGUGAAGGAUGAAGUCCCUCGGGAUGUAAACUUCGCAAGUAUGGGAAGAAAAAAAUGACGGUACCAUAUGUAAGCCCCGGCUAACUCCGUGCCAGCAGCCGCGGUAAUACGGGGGGGGCAAGCGUUGUUCGGAAUUACUGGGCGUAAAGCGCGUGUAGGCGGCUCUUCAAGUCGAGCGUGAAAUCUCCGGUCUUAAAUCGGAAACGGCGUUCGAUACUGUUGAGCUGGAGUACUGAAGAGGUAGCUGGAAUUCCCGGUGUAGCGGUGAAAUGCGUAGAGAUCGGGAGGAACACCGGCAGCGAAGGCGGGCUACUGGGCAGAUACUGACGCUGAGACGCGAAAGCCAGGGGAGCAAAC